AAAUUUUUAAACUUUUACCUUUAUUUUUAUUCUAUAGUUAAAACUUAAAGAAUUUUCAAAUAGGUUUCCCAGGUAGAAAGUAAUAAGUACAAUCUAUAAUGGCAUCUCUUAGAGAAAAAAUUGAUACAAUGAACCAAGUUGAAACUUAUGAUUGAAACAGAUUUCAUAUGCUUUUAUCACACAAUUUAGAGAAAAAUAUCAGGAAUUACCUCUAUUCUUUGAUAUUUAUUUUUAACUGAUGCUUGAUUGUUUUCUUUUAAGAACUGAUAAUAUGUAAAUGUACGUUUUAUUUUGGUCAAUUGAUCUGACCAACAUGUCUUUGCUAUUUGUACAAAGAGUGCUUUUUUUAUAAAACAAGAACUGAAUAUGUUAAAGUAUCCUAGUGAACACUGUUAAAUGCAACAGAAAUAAAUAUGAAUCUACAGAGCACUAGGCAAGAGUCUACUGAAAACCAAAAGAGGUAGAUUUUUUUUCCUUUUUUAAAAUGUCAACAUGUCUUCAUACUUUGAAAUGUUUACUAGCAGCUAUUUAAUAUUGUCCACAGAACAUAUCUUAUAUAUU
rnacentral:lncRNA from 1 species